UACGUAGGAUGCGAGCGUUGUUCGGAAUCACUGGGCGUAAAGAGUGCGUAGGCGGUUAUGUAAGCUCAAUAUUAAAGACUUUGGCUCAACCAAAGGAGUGUAUGGAGAACUGCAUAGCUAGAGGUUAGUAGGGGAUGCUGGAAUUCUCAGUGUAGCGGUGAAAUGCGUAGAUAUUGGGAAGAACACCGGAGGCGAAAGCGAGCAUCUGGGCUAAUACUGACGCUGAGGUACGAAAGCGUGGGGAGCAAACAGG
rnacentral:rRNA from 1 species